UCUAGUAUAGCAAUUAUACCGCGAAACUGCGAAUGGCUCAUUAAAUCAGUUAUCGUUUAUUUGAUGGUACCUUACUACUUGGAUAACCGUGGUAAUUCUAGAGCUAAUACAUGCUGAAAACCCCGACUUCGGGAGGGGUGUAUUUAUUAGAUAAAAAACCAACGCCCUUCGGGGCUCCUUGGUGAUUCAUGAUAACUUCUCAGAUCGCAUGGCCUUGCGCCGGCGACGGUUCAUUCAAAUUUCUGCCCUAUCAACUUUCGAUGGUAAGGUAUUGGCUUACCAUGGUUUCAACGGGUAACGGGGAAUUAGGGUUCGAUUCCGGAGAGUGAGCCUGAAAGACAGCUCACACAUCCAAGGAAGGCAGCAGGCGCGCAAAUUACCCAAUCCCGACACGGGGAGGUAGUGACAAUAAAUACUGAUACAGGGCUCUUUUGGGUCUUGUAAUUGGAAUGAGUACAAUUUAAACCUCUUAACGAGGAACAAUUGGAGGGCAAGUCUGGUGAACAAACAGCUUCCAUGCUGCUGACGCCAGAGAUAGUCGGGCACUGCGCGUAUGCAAGGUGCUACGCCGGCUAGUCGACGUACCUACUGAAUUGAUGGGCAGGUACCGGCAAGACAACCUGGAUCGGGGAAGGCUAAGGCGCUCGCACGAGUGCUAUGCUGAUCCCGAGCAGAGCUUUCGCGGAGCGAUCCACGAUCAUAGCCUGUGUAGAGCACGGAAAGGUGUCGGCCUACUCACGUAGUAGGCUUAAGGGACGUGCCAUUCCCAUCCGAAAGGGUGGCUGCCAGCCAGAGCGCCCAUCACGCGAAGGCUGGCAGGCUCGAACAGCUCGUUUGGGCGAGAGAGAUAAGGCCAGCAGCCGCGGUAAUUCCAGCUCCAAUAGCGUAUAUUAAAGUUGUUGCAGUUAAAAAGCUCGUAGUUGAACCUUUGGCCUGGCUGGCAGGUCCGCCUCACCGCGUGCACUUGUCCGGCCGGGCCUUCUCUUCUGGAGAACCGCAUGCCCUUCACUGGGUGUGCUGGGGACCAGGACUUUUACUUUGAAAAAAUUAGAGUGUUCAAAGCAGGCCUUUGCUCGAAUACGUUAGCAUGGAAUAAUAGGAAUAGGACGUGCGGUCCUAUUUUGUUGGUUUCUAGGACCGCCGUAAUGAUUAAUAGGGACAGUCGGGGGCAUCAGUAUUCAAUUGUCAAAGGUGAAAUUCUUGGGAUUAA
rnacentral:rRNA from 1 species